AAUAUUGGACAAUGAGGGAAACUCUGAUCUAGCCAUGCAGUGUGUGUGAAGAAGGUCUUCGGUUUGUUAAGCACUUUAAGUUGGGCGGAAGGGUUGUUGGCUAAUAUCCCGUAAUUUAGACGUUACCGACAGAAUAAGCACCGGCUAACUCUGUGCCAGCAGCCGCGGUAAUACAGAGGGUGCAAGCGUUAAUCGGAAUUACUGGGCGUAAAGCGCGCGUAGGUGGUUCAGUAAGAUGGGUGUGAAAUCCCCGGGCUUAACCUGGGAACUGCUUUCAUAACUGCUGAGCUAGAGUACGGUAGAGGGUAGUGGAAUUUCCUGUGUAGCGGUGAAAUGCGUAGAUAUAGGAAGGAACACCAGUGGCGAAGGCGACUACCUGGACUGAUACUGACACUGAGGUGCGAAAGCGUGGGGAGCAAAC
rnacentral:rRNA from 1 species